rnacentral:rRNA from 1 species
UACAGAGGUCUCAAGCGUUGUUCGGAUUCAUUGGGCGUAAAGGGUGCGUAGGCGGCGCGGUAAGUCGGGUGUGAAAUCUUGGAGCUUAACUCCGAAACUGCAUUCGAUACUGCCGUGCUUGAGGACUGGAGAGGAGACUGGAAUUUUACGGUGUAGCGGUGAAAUGCGUAGAUAUCGUAAGGAAGGACCAGUGGCGAAGGCGGGUCUCUGGACAGUUCCUGGACACUGAGACACGAAGGCCAGGGGAGCAAACGGG